rnacentral:rRNA from 1 species
AUUGAACGCUGGCGGCAUGCCUUACACAUGCAAGUCGAACGGCAGCGGACCUUCGGGUGCCGGCGAGUGGCGAACGGGUGAGUAAUAUAUCGGAACGUACCUUUCAGUGGGGGAUAACGUAGCGAAAGUUACGCUAAUACCGCAUAUUCUGUGAGCAGGAAAGCAGGGGAUCGCAAGACUUUGCGCUGAUUGAGCGGCCGAUAUCAGAUUAGCUAGUUGGUGAGGUAAAGGCUCACCAAGGCGACGAUCUGUAGCGGGUCUGAGAGGAUGAUCCGCCACACUGGAACUGAGACACGGUCCAGACUCCUACGGGAGGCAGCAGUGGGGAAUUUUGGACAAUGGGCGCAAGCCUGAUCCAGCCAUGCCGCGUGAGUGAAGAAGGCCU